GCUUACUUGCUGGACAGGGUGCUCGGCACAAUGUGGGAAAGCGUGGUCGCAUCUCAUGCUACACUCAGGCACAUAGGCAAAAGCUGGAGAGAGGUGUGGUCAGGCCUCUGUUACCUCAUAAUAAUAGCUCACUGCCAUGGUAACGGCUGUGGUCUUCAUGGGAGGGAGCACAGUAUCUACUGGGGUGCGCUGUGGGGUUCAGACGGAACUGCAGGUGUGAAAGAAAGUUGAGGCUAAGUGGUGGGAGGAAUCCACAUAGGAUUCUUGGGAUGAAGGCCUAAUUUAAACUCCUUAUGCUACUCAGAGAAGCGGGGCUGAUAAAGGGUGUGAGACACAAUGUGGUCCUUGAAGUGACCGUUAGCAGGACCUCAGCUACAGCACUAGGAAAAGUUGUGGUAAGUAUCAGCAGACAUGCUCCAAGGACUAGCCAAACAAGGACUCAAGGAGAUCACAGCCACUAUUCACCAGAGAAUGAGGUCACAGGAUGACCCCAGUCUGUACUAUGUGAAAAGACUUUAGGUUACAGACCAGGGCAGGAUAAAGCUCUGUUGUUGUGCCCCAAGCCAGGGACAGCGGUCCUCUACGACAGCCAUAGUGUGCAGGCACGUCAGUUCUUUUCUUCUACUAACCCCCACCUGUAUUUGUCAGAAAAGGUGACAGCAGCUGAGGCAGAGUCAGCACCCAUGUCAGGAUCCAGUUUCCAAACUAUGAUGGGAUGGAGCUCUGCUGUCACACUGUUCUCUGAAAAGCUGACCAUUGACAAAGGCUAAUGACAAUGUAGCUUUGGACACACAUGGACUCCACUGCUUGAAGCCUGAAGAGAAACAGGUACAGGAUCCAAUGAGGCAAUGUACCAGGCUAAAAUCUGGACACUAAAAAGCCAAUAUAUACCUACCAAAAGUAGAGAAGGCCAAAUAUGGACCCUUAGGAUCCUGAGCUAAAGUCUGAGAUGAAAGCACCCAGGUAUAGGCAUAAACCUAAAGAUGCAGGAACUCAAAUAAGAGGCGUUUCCUGGUUUAUACCAUGGACCAUUGUCCUGCCAAGGCCCAAUGCAGAAGAGAAGUGUGACUGGGACAAAUCCUGCAGAGAAAGAGGCCUGCACCCCCCCCAAAAAAAAGUAUUGAGUGGGCUGAAAGUGGACCCUAAUGAAGCCCAGACCCAAAUCUAGAAUAGACUGGGCCCUGGGCCAACCCCUGGCAAUGAAAAGGGCAGGUCUAUGGACAGAUAAUAUAUUGACAUGGGUAAAUUAUUCAAAUUAUAGAGGCUCAGGCCAAUCCAAGAAGAGGGGUGUGCCUAAGCCAAACUCUGAUCCUGUAGAAGCCCGGGCCCAAAGCAAGAAGAGAUGUGGGCCUGGGUCAGUCCCUGAACCUUAAGAUACCUGGAUCAAAAGAAAGACAGGCCUGGACAAUCCAAAAAAGGGAAAGAGGCCCAUAUUAAAACAUAAAAGGGAUAUGCCUGGGCCAAACCAUAACCCAAAGAAGCCCAGGCCUAAAGCAAGAAGAUAUGGGCCUGGGCUAAUACCUUACUUACCCUUUAGAAGCCCAGGCCCAAAGCAAGAGGAGAUGUGGGCCUGGGCUAAUACCUUACCCUUUAGAAGCCCAGGCCCAAAACAAGAAGAGAUGUGGGCCUGGGCCAGUCCCUGAACCUUAAGAAGCCUGGGCCCAGAAAGAGAUGAUAUAAGGGCCUGGGACAAUCCCCAAAAUAAAGAGGCCCAGGUUAAGCCACAAAAGGAGUAUGCCUGAGCCAAACCCUAUCCCCAAAGAAGCCUGGGCCCAAGGCAAGAAGAGAUAUGGGCCUGAGCUAAAACUUUAUCCUUGAGAAGCCUGGGCCCAAAUCAAGGAGAGAUGUGGGCCUGGGCCAGUCCCUGAACCUUAUGAUGCCUGGGCCCAAAAAGAGAUGAUAUAUGGGCCUGGGACAAUCCUAAAUAUGGAAGAGGCCCAGGUUAAACCACAAAAGGCGUAUGUCUUGACCAAACCCUAACGCUGAAGAAGCCCCAGCCCAAAGCCAGAAGAGAUAUGAGCCUAGGCAAAUAACUUACCCUUGAGAAGCCCGGGCCCAAAUCAAGAAGAGUUGUGGGCCUGGGCCAGCACCUGAAAUGACAGAGGCUAGGGAAACCACGAAAAGGAGUGAGGGUAACCAAAUUCAACCCCUGACUCCCUGUACAAUUACUAAAGUAAAAUCAUUCUGGAUUAACUCCUCACCAAAGAGACCUGUGCCCAAACAAAGAGCAGUGUGCCCACACCAAAUCUAAAGUGAAAAACAUGUGGUUAGAGCAUAUACCAUGAGGCUCUCUAAUCCAAGGCCUUAGUUUCAAUUGGUAUAAUACAACCAACCAGGUAUUAAUGCAGACAUAUGCCAGCUUGAACAUUGAUAACCUUGGACUCACCCACAAUACUGCCUAUAUUAAUGACUGAUAUGGACAACCUGAGUAUCAAAUAUGUGCUUCUUACACAGAAACUUCAUUCAAUCCAGGCAACAUCCUCAACACAUGUGAGCAAGGAUGAUACCCUCACCAUAAUACGACAAGGGCUCACUAAAUAGCUAUCAGUGUAGACAUGCAAUACCUAAAACUGUGUUAUGCUGCACCCUGUGGCUGUCUGACACAAGGACUUAUCUUGACUUAGACUGAUUGUUUCAGAUAGAAGUAUUUCUUGAAUGUACCUCAGGCCACGGCCUGUAACCAAGAACCUUGGACUAAUCAUAGUUGGUCUUGUUCUGACUAACAUUUGGACACAUAUUCUUCAAGAUCCAGAUCUUGAUGGUAACCUGAUGAUUAAUACAGGUGCAAGGACUUACACAGACCUCAAAGGAACCCAGCUGCUCCUUGAACCCCAAGAGCCUGGGCUAAUAUCAUCAUCAAGGGUGUGGAUGCAAUCCAGGACAAAAUCCCACCACAAAGGAGUGAUGCCUUAAAGGGACCAAACCUCACCUUAAUGACCAAAGGAAAUGGACAUUUCCUUAGUCCUGACCUGGUCUGACCACCAGGCAGUACCUUCAUGCUAGUUGAUUUUGUAGGACAUCAAUGGAAGUUGGGAGCUGUUUGACCACCAAGAACCUUGGGUCAAAUUCCAAGUGUCUUUGGGCCACACCCUCUCUUCUUCCAACCCAGGCUCCAUUAACAAUACAGGAGAGCCAGGACCAAAUAACAUCCUAGACUGUGUCCAAGCCACAAAUGACCAUCAACCAACAUGGGCAGACCUUGUACUUAGGGGUGUGUGGGCCGCACCCUCAUUUCAAGUCUGACUACAUGCUAUCUGGACUCCAAACAGACAAAACUAUUGGUGGUUUAAUCAUUGAAUUUCCAUAUAUUGUCUUCGAGAUGUGUAGACUACCCACACCUUUCACCCAGCUCAGGCAACCAUGCUCAAAUCAGGGAGUCAGGACUACCUCACAGCCUUCAUGACCAUCUGGGUCACAUAUGAAUAUCAAAUAACAUAGGCAUACAUUGGAUAGAGGGUGUGUGGGCCGCACCCAGGAAUCCCUGUGCCAAGGUUUUAUUAAGACUACAACAGAUCAAGGACAGCACUUUGAUCUCAAGUGUGAUCUAGUGCACACACGACUCCAGGAAGGUUGGACACAUUUUAACACCAUGGGGUGGUGGUCUGCAGAAUGACAUCAUGGAAAAAGACCAUGAAGUCACAUCAAUGGGAUCCUGCCAGCCAAUCAAUGUCAGUGUGAGUUGGGGGCUAACUUACCACCAUGAAGCCUGGGUCAAAAUUAACUUUGAGGGUUGUGGACCUCACCUCUCUUCAUCAAAUUCAAGAAAUAAACUUAACUAGGAGGACCCAGGACCACAAAACAUGGCCUUCAUGAUGUCUGGGUCACACCAGAGAAGCAACCUGGGCAGACUUUGCCAUGAUGGGUGUGUGGGCCGCACCCAAGUGUCAUUAUUUGUCCAGGUACUAUCUUGUCUACAAGAGACCCAGGACAAGAUGAUCUCAUGUGUGACUUAGGCAACACCAAGACCUCACAGGCAAUUGGAACCACCACAACAACCAGCAUUAGUGGUCUGCUAUGUGACAUCAGCCUCAUAAACUUCACAAGCCUCACAAGACUGUGGUCCAAACCCUCUUAGCCUGACAUCCCAGGUUCCCUCCCCACUCCCUGUUGACCUUUGUCCUCAACCUGACCUGAUUAGAAACAUCAAGUAACCCAUUGGGUUAAGAAGGUGAUGGACCAGGAGUACAGACAACUUGAAUGCUAAUGAGUAAUGGGAAAUCUUGAAGGCCCUCCUCUGGAGGCAUGUUUUUGGCUUGUUCACUGUCUAGAAGUAGUUACUGAGGAUUCCUCAAACUCUCAACAGAGCCUACCUAAAGGAAGAUGGAAUUAUAUAGUGAUUUCUACAAAUCUCUGUCUUCAUCUUCUGUAUACAAAACAGUUCAGAAGCAGUGUAGUGUUAUAUUAUUCUUUAUUGUGCAUUUCAUGCCCUAGAAUUGUAUAUAUAGUAUUCAAUAAACAUGAGGUUCAUCUGCAA